rnacentral:rRNA from 1 species
GACGAACGCUGGCGGCGUGCCUAAUACAUGCAAGUCGAGCGGACCACUUCGGUGGUCAGCGGCGGACGGGUGAGUAACACGUGGGCAACCUGCCUGUAAGACUGGGAUAACACCGGGAAACCGGUGCUAAUACCGGAUAAUCCUUUCCUUCACAUGAAGGGAAGCUGAAAGACGGUUUCGGCUGUCACUUACAGAUGGGCCCGCGGCGCAUUAGCUAGUUGGUGAGGUAACGGUUCACCAAGGCAACGAUGCGUAGCCGACCUGAGAGGGUGAUCGGCCACACUGGGACUGAGACACGGCCCAGACUCCUACGGGAGGCAGCAGUAGGGAAUCUUCCGCAAUGGACGAAAGUCUGACGGAGCAACGCCGCGUGAGCGAUGAAGGCCUUCGGGUCGUAAAGCUCUGUAGUCAGGGAAGAACAAGUACCGGAGUAACUGCCGGUACCUUGACGGUACCUGACCAGAAAGCCACGGCUAACUACGUGCCAGCAGCCGCAGUAAAAC